CCUGCGACGCGCGAACACAGCGCAGCGCGCGGAGCCGAGGGGCGCGCGCCGGGCAGCGGCGCGGGCAGCGGGAUCUCGGCGCGGUCGGAGCCCGCGCUCCAGCUGCGGGCCCACGGACGCCCGCACCAUGGCUGCCGAGGGACCCGGCCCCGGCGCCCGGCUCUGGGCGGCGGCGCUGCUCCUUCUUGGCCUGCCGCGCCUCUCCACGCCGGCGAAUGGGAAGCUCUUCGUGCUGGAGUCUCAGAACGGCUCUCAGGGCCUGGCACUGGAGGCCGCGCGGCUUUCCUGCAGGAGCAGAGGUGCUCACCUGGUGUCUGCAGAUGAGCUGCGGAGGGUGGUCCAGGACUGCGCCUUAGCGGUGUGCACCACGGGCUGGCUGGCGGACGGCACCCUAGGGACGACCGUGUGCAGCAAGGGGAGGGGUGAGCAGCAAGCCGUACGAGCUGUCGAUGUGAGGGUUGAAAGCAGCCCGGUUCCUGGGGGUACCUACAACGCGCUGUGUAUUAAGGAUGAAGAGAAGCCGUGUGGAGACCCGCCCUCGUUCCCACACACCAUCCUGCAGGGCCGCACCGGCUUGGAGAUGGGGGACGAGUUGCUGUACGUGUGCGCCCCGGGCCACGUGACUGGCCAGCGCGAAACGGCCUUCACCCUGCUGUGCGACAGCUGCGGGGAGUGGUACGGGCUGGUCCAGGCCUGCGGGAAAGAUGAGGCAGCGGUACACAUUGACUAUGAAGAUAAUUUCCCUGAUGAUAGAUCCGUGUCAUUCAGAGAGCUCAUGGAGGACUCCCGCACAGAGGCAGAGGACAGGAGUCAGGGAGAACCCUCUGAGGAGGCUCCAAAACAGGACCGUCUGGUCUCUAUGCCUGUGGCAAGGGAAGACAGAGCCCAGGAUACAGGCUUUGUGCCAACCACAGGCCUGCUGGGCGCUGGGAGCCCUGUCCCCACAGAGCUUCCGGGAUCCCGGCAGAAGGAUGUGCUCUGGUCUCCUGCUGGGACCUUCCACAAGCCUGAGUGGGAAAAGGAGAUGGAUGAUGACGCCAAAAAGCACCUUCCUGCUGCAGACCACCACAGGGGCAGCACGUUGGCCCCAGGGGAGCCAGAAACCAGGGUCGUCUACCACAGCACUGAUGGUCCCUCGGGGCCCCCGGUGGGCAGGAAUGACAGCAGGGCUGGUGACGCCAUGGUGAGCAGCAGCGAUGAGUCCUGGUUAGAUGGCUACCCUGUGACCGACGGGGCCUGGAGGCAGACAGAGGCAGGAGAGGAGGAAGAUGAGGAAGAGGAGGACAAAGGGAACGGGUCAGCCAGGCUGGAAGCAAGCAUGCUGAUUACGCCCAGCCAGCCCGCUCUUGCGGGAAGGAAGGGGUCCAGGAGCACCGCCCGCACACCCAGUGAGGACGUGACUUCACUUCUUCCAUCUCAAACGCUAGAUGGAGAAGCUUUGGCUCUCAGACCCAUGAAUGUGUCUGAAACUGAGGGUCCUGGCAAAGGGGCUGGUGACUUGACGGGAAAUCAGUCAACCGUUCCCUGGAGAUAUGCCGCAGAGAAGCCUCCCACGUCCACCCUGCCCUAUGAACUCACCAGCUCGACCCUGGAGACCGAGACGACCGCCGUCCAGAAGACGCCCAGCCUCACUCCCUCAACUGUCGUGGCGGCCACGCAGACCCCCCUGGAGACCACUGCCCCUGCCGUCCAGGACACCUUCCCGUACCUGCUGUCAGAGGACUUCCUGGGACAGGAAGUCCCCGGCCCGGGUGCAAGCGAGGAGCUUCUCCCGACCUUGGAGCCCUGCGCUGGGGGCAAGUGUCCCAGCCUCGGCAGAGGCCCCAUCGUUGCCACGGUCGUCACAGUUCUGUGCCUGCUGCUGUUCCUGGCAGGCGUGGGGGCCGUGUGGGGCUACCGAAGGUGCCAGCACAAGAGCUCCGUGUACAAGCUGAAUGUCGGCCAGCGGCAGGCUCGGCACUACCAUCAGCAGAUCGAGAUGGAGAAGGUCUAG
rnacentral:lncRNA from 1 species